rnacentral:rRNA from 1 species
UACGGAGGAUCCGAGCGUUAUCCGGAUUUAUUGGGUUUAAAGGGUGCGCAGGCGGGGGAUUAAGUCGGCGGUGAAAUUUUGCAGCUCAACUGUAAAAGUGCCUUCGAAACUGGUUUCCUUGAGUGUGGAUGAAGUAGGCGGAAUUUGUGGUGUAGCGGUGAAAUGCAUAGAUAUCACGAGGAACUCCGAUUGCGCAGGCAGCUUACUAAGCCAUAACUGACGCUCAGGCACGAAGACGUGGGGAUCAAACAGGAUUAGAUACCCUGGUA